UGCAAUUCCAAGGGGCCUCUCUUCCCAGUGAUGGCUGACUAGGCCAUCUUCUGCUACAUAUGCAGCUAGAUCCCUUUAGCUCCUUGGUUACUUUUACAUUGGGGACCCUGUGAGCAUCCACUUCUGUGUUUGCUAGGGCCCAGCAUAGUCUCACAAGAGACAGCUAUAUCUGGGUCCUUUCAGCAAAAUCUUGCUAGUGCAUGGAAUGGUGUCAGCAUUUGGAAGCUGAUUAUAGGAUGGAUCCCUGGAUAUGGCAGUUUCUAGAUGGUCCAAACUUUCAUCUCAGCUCCAAACUUUGUCUCUGUAACUCCUUCCAUGGGUGUUUUGUUCCCAAUUCAAAGAAGGGGCCUCACCAACAAUGGAGGAGUGUUCAUCUUUCUCCACACCCUUGCCAGCAUCUGCUGUCAACUGAAUUUUUAAUCCUAGCCAUUCUGACUGGUGUGAGGUGGAAUCUCAGGGUUGUUUUGAUUUUCAUUUCCCUGAUGAUUAAGGAUGUUGAACAUUUUUCCAAGUGCUUCUCGACCCUCCGGUAUUCCUGGGUUGAAAAUUCUUUGUUUAGCUCUAUACACCAUUUUUUAAUGGGGUUAUUUGAAUUUCUGGAGUUCAGCUUCUUGAGCUCUUUUAUAUAUUGGAUAUUAGUCCCCUAUCAGAUUUAGGAUUGGUAAAAAUACUUUCCCAAUCUGUUGGUGGCCUUUUUGUCUUAUUGACAGUAUCUAUUGCCCUAUAGAAGCUUUGAAAUUUUAUGAGGUCCCAUUUGUUGAUUCAUAAUCUUACAGCACAAGCCAUUUCUGUUCUGUUUAGGAAUUUUUCCCCUGUGCCCAUACCUUCGAGGGUUUUCCCCACUUUCUCCUCUAUAAAUUUCAGUGUCUCUGAUUUUACAUGGAGGUUUUUGAUCUACUUAGACUUGUGCUUUGUACAAGGAGAUAAGAAUGGAUCAAAAUCUUCUAUGUGAUAACCGCCUGUUGUGCCAGCACCAUUUGUUGAAAAUGCUGUCUUUUUUCCACUGGAGGGUUUUAGCUCUCUUGUCAAAGAUCAGGUGACCAUAGGUGUGUGGGUUUCAUUUCUGGGUCUUCAAUUCUAUCCCAUUGGUCUACCUAUCUGUCUCUGUACCAGUGCCAUGCAGUUUUUUUUUUUUUAUCACAAUUGCUCUGUAGUACGGCUCAGCCAUUAAAGACUAGGCUCACAAUGAAAAUUAUCAGAAAAAUUCCUUUUAAAUGGCCUUUCUUUAUGUGUUCAGUGUGGAGGCUUGUCUGUCUUAAUAAACAACCUUAAUUGAAGUAAUUGCUCAUCAUACUCAAGAUUGCAAGUACACUAAUGGGCUGGGGUCUGUUUCAUUGAUCCCUGCAUUACCAUUACCUGGGUCCAUUUAUUACAUGAAGCACAAACAUGGUGUACACAUAUUUCAUAAAUGAAUAAAAUAUUGUUUUCUGAGGCAUCUAUUCAAUAGUUGCUAUUCAAAUAUUUGCAGAAUUAUAAGCUGAAGAAAAACUUGGAGGGGCCCAAGUAAAUCUGUAAUUUUUAAAAGGUGUUUGUAAAAAAAAAUCCAUUUAAUGAAGGGGUCUGCAACCCUAUAGGUGGAACAAAAAUAUGAACUAACAAGUACCCCUAGAGCUCAUAUCUCUAGCUGCAUAUGUAUCAGAAGAUGGCCUAGUCAGCCAUCAGUGGAAAGAGAUGCCCAUUGGUUUUGCAAACUUUAUAUGCCUCAGUACAGAGGAACGCCAGGGCCAAGAAGUGGGAGUGGGUGGGUGGGGGAGUGGGUAGGGGAGCAGGUGGGGGACUUUGGGAUGGCAUUGGAAAUGUAAAUGAAAUAAAUACCUAAUUAAAAAGAAACAGUAAACAUGUGAUCUUAAUACACGAUGCCUCUUAAUUGAAAGACAAUACAUUUAUUUUUAUAAAAGUAAUGGAAUACUUUAUUUUAGAAAAAUAAAUUCAAGUACAAUGACAUAGUGCUAGCCUCUACCUUCCAACUCAUUAAACCUAAGAUUUGAGAUAGUGUAUUUCCCAAUAAUGAAAGUCUUCAUGCAUUACAAAACUUUCAUGUGCCUUCCCGUAAGUUUAGUCAUUCGUCUGCUGUAAUGUGUACUGACCUAAAAGUUGAGCUCUUAAAAAAUAAUCUCCUUUUUACUGGGCUCCUCAGCCAGUAUGUGGUUUAAUGUCUGUAUCUUACACAAGAUAAAUUCCCCUUCUGUUUAAUAAAAUAUCCCAUUUUCUUAGCCAGUAAGGAAAUUUGGAAAAACACUCAUCAUUUUAAUAACACUAUAAAAUUCUCUCCUUAAAUAUUGGCAUCUAUUUGCCUGUCAGUGGUUCAGUCUUGUUUUGUCCCCCGAUCUCCACACUGCAGUUUUUGAUUAUGAAUGUGUUGUUUUGUUUUGUUUUGUUUUCAGAUAGAUUCAUUUCUUUUUGAAUUAUUUCAUUAUCAUUUGGCUACUCUGUUUUAGACAUUAUUUUUUUGUAAGAAAAUGAGAGUUUCUUGGAGACCAAUUUACUGCUAUAGUAACCAUAUUACUUUUUUCCCCCAUGUCAUCUCAAGAAGUGCUAAAAUUGCUGCACUGAAAUUAGAUGAGUGCCAUUCAUUUUAUAGUUUUCUAAGUUGUUAACGCUAACUUAUACUUUAUAGUCAUUGAAGAGACAAAUCUCUGAAAAACCCAUGCCUUUUAAAAAUUACCAUAUCCUUCUUUCAAUUCAUAGAACACUGGGGUCACUAUCUUUGACCUUUCACAAUUAAAAACAAUUUUAAAACAUCUCUACAUUUUGUUCUAAAACAGUAUGUACUAUAAUUGCUCACAGAACUGUUAUGACUCAUGCCUCACUCUCCCAAGGAAGGCCAAGCCAUUAGAUUUAUUGGACUUCAACAGUUAUUAAGCACUAAUUACAUAUGUCAUGUGAGGUGCUGAGCAUAUACAGAUACAGAAGGCAUGAUCCCUGUUCUCCUGGUGAAGACUUCAAAUUGAUUAGAUUGUAUUUAUGACUAUGCAAAAUGGUAGAAAUGUUUUCAGAGAUGAUAGAAGGUCAAAUUGAGCAGGGAAGUCCUGGCAGCAAAGAGUAGCAAUCAGCACUGAAUGGAAAGAUAGUUUUGUGUAUGGAUAAAUGAUUGUAAAAUAGCUUCCCUUUGUUCCUGCAUAUGCCAACUGCUUCUAAUGAGUACUUUUUUGCCAAGUUGCAGAUAUAAACAAAUGUAUUGUCUAUGAGGCUGUCCUGAAGCACAAGCUCAAAAUUCGUUCUUCAAGGCAGUAGUAUAAAAUCUACUGUCUCAUUUCAGAUCUAUUGCACUAGUCUUUUUAGAUUAGAGAUUCGUUGUAGAGCCUGAAGAAAGCCAUAGACUUCUCCCUUCAUCCUGAAAAAUCUACAUAAACUUUUUUUCAUAUAUAGAAUAAUAUUUCAUGACCUUGGAAGCCAGUCCCAGUUUUAAAGCCUAGACAUCAAACUUAGAAAAUGCUUUCCCCUUUACUUGAGUACUUGCUACUUGAGUACCAGAGGGUAACAAUGAAAAGCCAGACACAAAACCACACAGUUCUAGUCUUUCUAACACAGCUGUGGAAGAUGAAAAAUACCAGUCUCAUAAUAAAGAGAUAAAAUAUGAAAUAGGGGACUUAUCCCUGCUUCUAAACAACCUCUGUAAAAGGGCAGAUAAUUCCUUAAUUUACUUCCUUUCUUUUGAUAUGGUGAUUAUUCUUGCUGGUCUAUAACUACGAGAAUUUCACUACAGAAGGCAACUGAGGUCCUUGAGAUAGUCACCGUUUCUAAACUUUUACUCUGGGAUUACAAAUAAAUCCCAAAGGCAGGAGGGUUAACUUAAUAAGAAAAGUAAUUGAGAUGAAAAAAUGAAUAAUGACAGUUUUCUAACUAGGUGUUAGCAAGCUGGCUAAUAGUUUUUAAAGAAGUCUUCUCUUUGUUUUUGGAUUUUCUAUUGUUUGUUUGCUUGCUUUGUUGUUGUUGUUCAAUAGUGGCAAUCCACAGCCAAAAGUACUUUUUUUUAAUCUUUGGAAUGCACAUAGGGUUUGUAAAACUAGGAUUAAGGAGGAAGAAUUUAAAAAAAAUAGACAUAUUCAUACCCAUUUGGCUAGCUAGCUUACUUACUAUGGCUAGCUACUGAUCUAGAAACACCCAUAUUUUCCUAUGGAUUUGUCUAAACUUUUGUCUAUUUGGCCUUGAUACCUCCCCUGGCACCAUUGUUCAAGGGAUUUAGAAGGAAUUAUAUCUAUACAUGCCUUGGACAACAGACUUGUUGACCUCAGAAAUCUAUAGUUAUCCAUGACUUAUCUUCAACCUCUCAUAACUAAUCUGGGAACAGUUAUGCCUAUACAGAGACCUUUGUGAGAAGACAGGCCAGUGCCUGUCUUGAGAGCCAGGCCUGAUGAACUGUGUCCCAUAGACCAUCUCACUACUCCUAAUUAUGAUCCAGGAGCAUCCCUGCUUGCCCAGUGGCCUUCUAAGUCACAUGUCCAUCUAUGCCUCCAAAAGCUGGCCUGAGGAUCUAAGUCUCAGCUAUGGACUAAAAAAUAGUUCCAUGACACAGUUCCAGCUACUUUCAUCAUGGUUUUGAGUGAUUUCUUCCCAUUUGAAGACCUGUGCCGUGAUCUUGUAAGAGCCAUCCCAUGAUCCUGGUGUGAUACCACAUCCAAGGUCCCUUAUCUGGAAACUCAGCUACAGAUGUCAAAAUAGACACUUUUCUAAAUGUCAGUCUAACUGACAAAGAUCUUGGGGACAAUAAUUUAGCCCUGGGUUUAAAUAGGACCCACACUGUCCAAAGACCCUGAUAAUAGGACUGCUGUGGAUCACACUGCAGAUCCUGAAGCAAUCAAAUGCUGUAGUAUCAGUGUCACUUGGCUGCCAUCCCAGUGGCAAUCCUACUAGACUACAGAACCAACAAGAGAAGGUUUUACUUACUGAAGCCAGUCUAUAAAAAUAGGAAGAAGUGUUUGCUCAUUCAAAUUCACAGACACCAACUCAAAGCUACAAGAAUCAUACAGAAUCAGGCAAACAUUCACCAUCAAAGAAGACUAAUGAAGCUCUCUAUAGCAAUCCCCAGGAAAUGGAACUCUAUAGACUGCAUGAAAACAAAUUCAAAAGAGUUAUCUUGUUGCAGGAUCUUAAUGAGAUGCAGGUAAUCACAGACAGCUAAAUGACACCAGGAAAAUGAUGAAAGAACAAAAUUGUAAGUUUAAUGUAUAAAUAUUUCAUCAAAAAGCAUGGAACAAGUGAGCAUGGGGACAUACACCUGUAACUCAAGAAUUUAAGAGGUGGCUACAAGAGGAUUGGAAAGCCAGAGUUUUAUAUCAAUUUUGAGGCAAGCCUGCAGCCUGGUAUACGUUAGAUCCUGCCUCAAAAAGCCAAAAAGCC
rnacentral:lncRNA from 1 species